GCUGCGCCGGCGUUUGGACCUGAGGCGGGAGGCGCUUCUUGGGCUCCGGGCGGUGAAGGAGUCCGGAGCCGGAGGACGGCGUUGGCCCAGGCGAGGGGCGACCUCACUGAGCCCGGUUGUCACCUGUGAGAUGGGGGGACACGCCCGCCUCUCGGAAUGUUCAGAAAGGGGCUUAGGGGAUGCUUGGGGUAAGGACUUCGGCAGUAUUAUCCUGUGGUCUUUAUGUGGAGGCAGCUAUUCCUGUGAUCUGGCCCCAAAAUUCACGCAGAAGCACAGCUUGGACCAGCUGUCCACGUGGCCAUCUGAUCCCUUCUCACGAGAAAAUCUUUGGACAAAGUAUAAAAGACAACUCUGAAGAACUCUGAAAAGUAAACAAAAGGGGGCCAGUUAUGGAGGGAGUGCUUUGGAGAUGCACACUGCAUGAGGAAAACAUCCUGGAGGAUUUGAAUAUUUCAUAGACACAGGAUAAAAGAAGAGAAGAAAGGACGUGCACUUUUUCAUCUGCAACAGGAUCAUAAUAAUCCACACUUAUUAGGGUGGAGAUGAUGUGUAAAUAAUAUGUUUAAUGUCAGCACUUAGGAAUUGGCCUGAGACAUGUGAAAGAGCGUGUAUAUUUUGGUUUAUCAUUAUUUUAUAAGUCAGCUUCAUCUUUGUUAUUACAUUUGUUAUCCACAAAUCAAGCUAAAAUGGUCCAAAGGCAUUUAUAAGAUGCAGCUGAUUAUGUACCAUUCUAGUGGGUUUGGGGCUGCGGGUAUAUUGGGUAUAUUCUCUACCUUGAGAGUAUAUUCUCUACCUUGAAGCACAACUGUUGCUGGAAAACUGCAAAGAGAACUGUAGAGAACCAGCUAGCCCUCUCAGGAAAGCCCAAGCAUCAGCUAGAUGUCAGUGCGGUGUGCAGAGCAUCUGUGACAUUUAUAAACCCCAGAAUGAGGAAGAAAAACCUGGGGAGUAUGUGAGUUGAUGGAUGGCAGCUAUUUCUCAGAAAACAUGGGCGAGAAUGAUCUAUUGAUUUUCCUAAGUGAAAGGAUUGUGAAGUCCAAUCUCAGGUGUUCACUUGAACCGCAGUAUUUAUAGUGUAAAUAUUUUUUAUCUAUUAUGAGAAGAGUAAUUAUUUUUCCAAUUAAAGGAACAUUAAAACUCCAGAGGCACUACAUGUCACAAAUAUUAAGUUCUCAAACCUCAGGAAUACAAAGAGUCCUGUGUAAGACUUGGUUUCCCUAAUCAACCAAUGGCAAAAUAAGAGCAGAAAGUCUUUCUUGCUAAACUGCUUUCACUUUCAUCUAUCAUCACAAUCUUGGUAUUUUAGUAGGGAAGGAGAUUUAGUAGAAGGGAGAUUGGUUCACAUUUAUCUGUUUACUAUAAAUGUAUGAUAAGAUACAGUUUGAAAAGUAAAAUGUAGUUCCCACCACAGGUAAAAAAUAUUUCUGUAAAUAUUUACGGUGAUGC